GUCUGGUCUGAUGGUAGUGGGUUAUGAGAACUUAUUAACAUCAGUGUCACUAAAGUUGGUAUUCAACCCCCCACUGCUAAAUUUUACUGGGUUAAA
rnacentral:Y_RNA from 1 species